GUCAGAUUUAAUGUGUAUGGGCAUAAUUACUUUGGCUAGGGCAUGUUCCCCCCACCAUAAACCUUCCAACCUUGUCCUGAGCUGCAUAUCCCCACACAACCAAUAUAUGUCUCCCAUUUAACCUGAUUUUGCAGUAAGGCAGCUGGAACUUUGCUAUAAGUGGCACAAUAUUUACCGGUGAAAAUACCCCAAAACCUUCCUAUUCCUCCAUAUAUACCAUAACAAAUAUAGUUCCCUGGACAGAUGGUGAUACCCUCAUCUGGUUUGGGGUUCUUA